UGUAUGCGGUACAUUGGGAUCCCCCUUCAAAAGAAGGAGGUUCUGGGGCAAGUCCUUAUAAGGUGAAUUGGAGCCCAGAAGAUGCACCUUCCAAAGAAAAAGGUUUUGGGGCAAGUGCUUAUGCGGUACACUGGGAUCCAGAUCAUCCACCAUCU